rnacentral:rRNA from 1 species
GCUUCGCUGACGAGUGGCGGACGGGUGAGUAAUGUCUGGGAAACUGCCUGAUGGAGGGGGAUAACUACUGGAAACGGUAGCUAAUACCGCAUAACGUCGCAAGACCAAAGAGGGGGACCUUCGGGCCUCUUGCCAUCGGAUGUGCCCAGAUGGGAUUAGCUAGUAGGUGGGGUAACGGCUCACCUAGGCGACGAUCCCUAGCUGGUCUGAGAGGAUGACCAGCCACACUGGAACUGAGACACGGUCCAGACUCCUACGGGAGGCAGCAGUGGGGAAUAUUGCACAAUGGGCGCAAGCCUGAUGCAGCCAUGCCGCGUGUAUGAAGAAGGCCUUCGGGUUGUAAAGUACUUUCAGCGGGGAGGAAGGCGAUAAGGUUAAUAACCUUGUCGAUUGACGUUACCCGCAGAAGAAGCACCGGCUAACUCCGUGCCAGCAGCCGCGGUAAUACGGAGGGUGCAAGCGUUAAUCGGAAUUACUGGGCGUAAAGCGCACGCAGGCGGUCUGUCAAGUCGGAUGUGAAAUCCCCGGGCUCAACCUGGGAACUGCAUUCGAAACUGGCAGGCUAGAGUCUUGUAGAGGGGGGUAGAAUUCCAGGUGUAGCGGUGAAAUGCGUAGAGAUCUGGAGGAAUACCGGUGGCGAAGGCGGCCCCCUGGACAAAGACUGAC